GAGCAGGUGCGGUGGUGCGUGGCCGUUCUUAGUUGGUGGAGCGAUUUGUCUGGUUAAUUCCGAUAACGAACGAGACUCUGGCAUGCUAACUAGUUACGCGACCCCCGAGUGGUCGGCGUCCCAACUUCUUAGAGGGACAAGUGGCGUUCAGCCACCCGAGAUUGAGCAAUAACAGGUCUGUGAUGCCCUUAGAUGUCCGGGGCUGCACGCGCGCUACACUGACUGGCUCAGCGUGUGCCUACCCUACGCCGGCAGGCGCGGGUAACCCGUUGAACCCCAUUCGUGAUGGGGAUCGGGGAUUGCAAUUAUUCCCCAUGAACGAGGAAUUCCCAGUAAGUGCGGGUCAUAAGCUUGCGUUGAUUAAGUCCCUGCCCUUUGUACACACCACCGCACCUGCUCA
rnacentral:rRNA from 1 species